rnacentral:lncRNA from 1 species
UGGUGUAUCUGUAUCAAUUUUCUCUCUCUUGUCAAAACGAGCUAUUUGUGGACAGGACGACUCAUUUUUAAACUUAGCAAUUUCUAUUUUUGUUUUUAGUUUAUAAAUAUAUACAUUUUACUUUUAUUUAGGUUAGAUUAGGUUACAUUUUUCAUAAUUGGGUUAUGGCUAGAUUAGAUAAGGUAAGUUGGGUUAGGUUAGUUAAGCCACCAUAUCACAUUAGGGAUAUUCUGUAUCUGGCAGUGGCCACUUAUAGAGUCUAUUUUUCAUUAACUUAUAUUCGUUUUUGGAUUGCACACAUUUUUAUCUGUCUAAAAUCAAUCCUUCAUGUUGAAAAAGCUACCAAAAUUAUUUCACAAUUACAAAUAUCCUAUUGAUAUUUUUGAUUAUACAUCUCUCUUUGAAUACAAAUCAAAACUAACAAAUUAAGAAUGAGUCAGUUUAUGCGCAUUUUCGUUGCUGUGAUACUGCCAUAGAGAUAGUAUAGUAUAACUAGAGGGAGCAUCUCCCAGUCGCCUGAAUGGAAGCAGUUGAGGAAAUUGACUGCCAUAUUGGAUAAGUAUAGCGGGGCAGUGAUGUAUAUAGAUUUUUCAUUUUUUUC